GGCAGUUAUGGAGCAUGCGCAGCAGCAGGGGCGGCCGCAGGUCGCCGUUCAAUAAUACGUAAUGUAUAGACUUUUGAGUAUACGAAGCUCCCUGUUUCUCUAGGUUCACCUGAGAUUUAUCUGGUCUUUCAGGGCUUAAAAGGGAGACAUUCCCAAAGAAGAUUCCGUGGGAAGUCUCCUACAAGCCCCGAAGGAAGGGAAUCUCUCUCCUCAUACCUUGAGUUUCCUGAGUACAAUUAUUAUAGAUAUACGAAGAUCUCUGUGCUCAUGGAGAAUUUGUGUCAAGGGAUUUGUACAGCCCUGUAGGAGACACCUCCAGAGAAAGUAACAGCUCUCAAUUGAUUAGCUGAGGUAUGUACUGUGUGACUUAAAUAUUGAGUUUAUUUUUAUCAAAUACCUGUCAAGAAAGAAAGUCAAUUCUGAAACAGCAGAAGCUCAAAGUUCUACAGAUGGCUUUCAAAGGAAUUUGAAUUAGACAUCAUUUGAUGUUGCAAAAAACAAUGACAUCUUUUAUAGCUCUAAACAUCAGUUUUUAAAUUAGAGAUUGAUCUAUAAAGGAGCUAAGUUUGCAUAAUCAUUAUUCAUUUUAAGAUAAUAAUAUAUGAUAGGUACUAAAUUAUAUAGUAGUUUUGUGUAGAGAUUUAUACAUAUUUUCUGAUUGCCAUCAUCACAUCAUCUAAUUAUUUAGAAAUUUCAUUUUCAGAACCUUGGAUUUUGGACAUAGAGCUUUGAAAAAUAUU
rnacentral:lncRNA from 1 species